GACGAACGCUGGCGGCGUGCCUAAUACAUGCAAGUAGAACGCUGAAGAGAGGAGCUUGCUCUUCUUGGAUGAGUUGCGAACGGGUGAGUAACGCGUAGGUAACCUGCCUUGUAGCGGGGGAUAACUAUUGGAAACGAUAGCUAAUACCGCAUAACAAUGGAUGACACAUGUCAUUUAUUUGAAAGGGGCAAUUGCUCCACUACAAGAUGGACCUGCGUUGUAUUAGCUAGUAGGUGAGGUAACGGCUCACCUAGGCGACGAUACAUAGCCGACCUGAGAGGGUGAUCGGCCACACUGGGACUGAGACACGGCCCAGACUCCUACGGGAGGCAGCAGUAGGGAAUCUUCGGCAAUGGGGGCAAGCCUGAACGAGCAACGCCGCGUGAGUGAAGGAGGUUGUCGGAUCGUAAAGCACUGUUGUAAGUCAAGAACGAGGGUGAGAGUGGAAAGUUCACACUGUGACGGUAGCUUACCAGAAAGGGACGGCUAACUACGUG
rnacentral:rRNA from 1 species